AGAGUUUGAUUCUGGCUCAGGAUGAACGCUAGCUACAGGCUUAACACAUGCAAGUCGAGGGGCAGCAUUUCAGUUUGCUUGCAAACUGGAGAUGGCGACCGGCGCACGGGUGAGUAACACGUAUCCAACCUGCCGAUAACUCGGGGAUAGCCUUUCGAAAGAAAGAUUAAUACCCGAUGGCAUAAUUAGACCGCAUGGUCUUAUUAUUAAAGAAUUUCGGUUAUCGAUGGGGAUGCGUUCCAUUAAGCAGUUGGUGAGGUAACGGCUCACCAAACCUUCGAUGGAUAGGGGUUCUGAGAGGAAGGUCCCCCACAUUGGAACUGAGACACGGUCCAAACUCCUACGGGAGGCAGCAGUGAGGAAUAUUGGUCAAUGGACGAGAGUCUGAACCAGCCAAGUAGCGUGAAGGAUGACUGCCCUAUGGGUUGUAAACUUCUUUUAUAUGGGAAUAAAGUUUUCCACGUGUGGAAUUUUGUAUGUACCAUAUGAAUAAGGAUCGGCUAACUCCGUGCCAGCAGCCGCGGUAAUACGGAGGAUCCGAGCGUUAUCCGGAUUUAUUGGGUUUAAAGGGAGCGUAGGUGGACAGUUAAGUCAGUUGUGAAAGUUUGCGGCUCAACCGUAAAAUUGCAGUUGAUACUGGCUGUCUUGAGUACAGUAGAGGUGGGCGGAAUUCGUGGUGUAGCGGUGAAAUGCUUAGAUAUCACGAAGAACUCCGAUUGCGAAGGCAGCUCACUGGACUGCAACUGACACUGAUGCUCGAAAGUGUGGGUAUCAAACAGGAUUAGAUACCCUGGUAGUCCAC
rnacentral:rRNA from 1 species